rnacentral:rRNA from 1 species
UACGUAGGGUGCAAGCGCUAAUCGGAAUUACUGGGCGUAAAGCGUGCGCAGGCGGUUAUGCAAGACAGGUGUGAAAUCCCCGAGCUCAACUUGGGAACUACACUUGUGACUGCAUAGCUAGAGUACGGUAGAGGGGAGUGGAAUUCCGCGUGUAGCAGUGAAAUGCGUAGAUAUGCGGAGGAACACCGAUGGCGAAGGCAGCUCCCUGGACCUGUACUGACGCUCAUGAACGAAAGCGUGGGGAGCAAACAGG